CCAAUAGCGUAUAUUAAAGUUGUUGCAGUUAAAAAGCUCGUAGUUGAAUUUCGGGAUUUGUCAGUUGGUCGGGCUUCACUGUCCGUAUUGACUUGAUGGAUUCUUACCUUCUGAAUAAACCAGCAUGCUAUUAAUUUAGUGCGUUGGGGAAGCAGAUCUAUUACCUUGAAAAAAUUAGAGUGCUUAAAGCGAGCUAGUGCUUGAAUAGAUUAGCAUGGAAUAAUAAAAUAGGACGGCAUGGUUCUAUUUUGUUGGUUUCUAGGAUCACCGUAAUGAUUAAUAGGGAUAGUUGGGGGCAUUAGUAUUCAAUUGUCAGAGGUGAAAUUCUUGGAUUUAUUGAAGACUAACUUCUGCGAAAGCAUUUGCCAAGGAUGUUUUCAUUAAUCAAGAACGAAAGUUAGGGGAUCGAAGACGAUCAGAUACCGUCGUAGUCUUAACCAUAAACUAUGCCGACUAGGAAUCGGACGAUGUUAAUUUUAUAAUGACUCGUUCGGCACCUUACG
rnacentral:rRNA from 1 species